AUGCACGCUAGCGGGAGGCCUAACACAUGCAAGCCGAGCGGUAUUUGUUCUUCGGAACAGAGAGAGCGGCGCACGGGUGCGGAACACGUGUGCAACCUGCCUUUAUCUGGGGGAUAGCCUUUCGAAAGGAAGAUUAAUACCCCAUAAUAUAUUGAGUGGCAUCAUUUGAUAUUGAAAACUCCGGUGGAUAGAGAUGGGCACGCGCAAGAUUAGAUAGUUGGUGAGGUAACGGCUCACCAAGUCAAUGAUCUUUAGGGGGCCUGAGAGGGUGAUCCCCCACACUGGUACUGGGACACGGACCAGACUCCUACGGGAGGCAGCAGUGAGGAAUAUUGGACAAUGGGUUAGCGCCUGAUCCAGCCAUCCCGCGUGAAGGACGACGGCCCUAUGGGUUGUAAACUUCUUUUGUAUAGGGAUAAACCUACUCUCGUGAGAGUAGCUGAAGGUACUAUACGAAUAAGCACCGGCUAACUCCGUG
rnacentral:rRNA from 1 species